rnacentral:rRNA from 1 species
UGUUGUGGUUGCCUAAGCGAACCACAAUUUAGAAUAGUAGUUGCAAGUGGGCCAUUCCGGGUAAGCUGGACUGGCGAUGCGGGAUCAACCGAACGAUAUGGUACGGCGCCUAAUUGUUCGCUCAGUUCGAUAGAAAAGGUGUUAGUUCAUCUAGACAGCAGGACGGUGGCCAUGGAAGUCGGAAUCCGCUAAGGAGUGUGUAACAACUCACCUGCCGAAUGAAGUAGCCCUGAAAAUGGAUGGCGCUUAAGCGAACAGCCUAACCAUGUCUGUCAUUCCAAGCCCCAGGGUAGAUUAUGGAAUGACAAGUAGGAAGGCGUGAUGGAUAUUGAAAAGUAUAUGUGUAAACUUAUAUGGAAUGUCCAUUAGUGCAGAUCUUGGUGGAAGUAGCAAAUAUUCAAAUGAGAUCUUUGAAGACUGAAGUGGAGAAAGGUUCCAUAGGAAUCGUGUUGAACUAUGGGUUAGUCGGUCCUAAGAGAUAGGUGAAAUCCGUUGAAAAUGUUCUUUUGAAAGAAAGAGCAAUGGAUCGAAAGGGAAUCAGGUUAAUAUUCCUGAACCAAUGAAAUGUAAUUGUAGAAUGGUAACAGAGAAUAAUAUUAUGACAUCGGUUACUCUCCUGGGAAGAGUUUUCUUUUCUUGUUAACAAUAAUAAAAGCUUGGAAUGGAAUGAAUCCGCGAAAAGGUUUUGUUAUUGGUAAAGGAAUUCAAUAUUUUGAAUUCUCCGGUGCAGAGUAAUGGGUCCUUGAAAAGUAAUAUUAUACCCUUUGGGUGGCAUUUCAUUGUCCGUACUCAUAACCGCAUCAGGUCUCCAAGGUGAAUAGCCUCUAGUUAAUAGAAUAAUGUAGAUAAGGGAAGUCGGCAAAUUAGAUCCGUAACUUCGGGAUAAGGAUUGGCUCUGAGGGCUAGGUGUGAUGACCCUUCAUAAGGGGAAUCAUCGAUUCUUGGAUAUCGAGUGAAUGAGAUGAUUGAUGGAGUUGUCUACUUUCGGGUGGACGGCCCUAUUACUCUUCCCUGCAACUCUGAUUCCUUGAAUCGAAGCACAAUGAAUAGCUGACUCAGAACUGGUACGGACAAGGGGAAUCCGACUGUUUAAUUAAAACAAAGCAUUGUGAUAGUGUGAAAGAUAUAUUGACACAAUGUGAAUUCUGCCCAGUGCUCUGAAUGUCAAAGUGAAGGAAUUCAACCAAGCGCGGGUAAACGGCGGGAGUAACUAUGACUCUCUUAAGGUAGCCAAAUGCCUCGUCAUCUAAUUAGUGACGCGCAUGAAUGGAUUAACGAGAUUCCCACUGUCCCUGUCUACUAUC